rfam:Schistosoma margrebowiei strain Zambia genome assembly, scaffold: SMRZ_scaffold0001553
AUCCAGCUGACGAGUCCCAAAUAGGACGAAGCGUACGUCCUAGUU